CUGCCAGGAGCUGCUGCAAACAGCCCCGGUCAUGCACACGAUAGGGGCUGUUGAGGUUGGAAGGGGCUGUUAACCUUUUACCUUAGUAAUAACCAAGGUUAAAGAAUGGUGUAGCCCUUCUCCAAAGCAGCUGGUUAGGAGUGGGUCCCAAGGCUCCAUAUGAGCCUUUCUACCCUGGGUUUCCUGCUCCUACCCAUCUUGACACAGUCAGGGAACCAAGAGAGCAAGAAAUUAAACUAUUUGGGGCACAUUUACAACAAAGUUGCUUACUGAGGCCUUCAAUAGAGGAGGGAGGAGAGCAAGCCCAACCCAAGCCUGGAAAAAUCCAAGACUUAAGAACUAGUGCCUUAUUCUCCAGGUGCUGGCUGUGAUAGAGUUGGUGAAUUGGUGGUGGAGCCUUUGCCUCGUCUUCUGAAUCAGAGGAUAAAGAGGAUAAUCCAUGCUGAACUUACUUGCUGAGAACUGGGCUGUGCAGUCUGCAGGAACUAUUUCCAUGAUCAUGGCUAAAAGACAAAGUGCUGGUGUUGCUAGCUGCCUCCAGUGCAGGAUGCAUCCACAGAGUGGUUGUGUUGCACGCUCUCCGAGACAAGAGGGACCAUAUGGGGAAAGAGAGCUGUAAACUUGCAUAUGUAAACUACAUCAGUCAGACAGUGCUGCUAUCUGUUGACCAAAUUAAGGUCAGAUUGUGACUCUCUGGGUUGUUCCCCACUUAGCAAAUGCUGAUGAGCAGAGAAGAUAAUGAGAAGUCUAACCAGGGUGGGGGAGAUGAGAAUACUCCAUUCUCAAUAUAUUGGCCCUAAUCUGGUCUGCGUUCGUGUGUGUGCAUGUUUGCCUUAUAUGUAUUAUUAAAACUGUUAUAUGCUGCUUUUUAACAACAAAA